UCUCAAUCAUCUUUCCAAAGCAUCUUGCAAAAGAAUCAUUCUUAUCUCUGCUUUGUAGAUGAAGAAACUUGAAGCUGAAAGUUUGUCCAUGGUCUUCUUGGGGAUGCAAACUCAGGUCUACCUUCAGGUGGGUGUUCUUUCUCUCCAUUCUGCUGUUUGGGAUGACUGAAAAUACUAUUCCUACAGCUGCUAAGCAGUGAGCGCAGGCAAGGCACUGGCUUUCUGUGGACCAUAGUCCCUUCAUUUUCAGGUGGAGGUGGUCAUAUCUACCUUCUCUUUUCAUAGAAUUGUUGGAUAUUGCAAAGCAACUGGAAAGCUCUCUUUAGAAGACAACAAAUGUAGAAAGGCUGGUUUCAAGGUCCAACUCCGCUUUGCACAUACUCUCUGCCCAAAUCUGGGAGGUAAUUCUGUGUGGAGGCUGAGAGGACUGGUCUAGGCAAAGGAGGAUGGUGGCCUUCAUCAGAGGGGCAGCUGUGGAACUGAACACAUCUGACAUGCCUUCAGACACCAGGAUGAACAGUACAUUGACCCAUGCAUUCAGCAGCUAAAAUGUGCCAGGUGAGGAAAUGGACUCACUCGUGAUUGGUUUGAAUACGCCCUUGGAACAGAAGCCGUAGAUGUAAAUUCCUCUAGUCUAGAGACACAAGCCAUGAAUAAGAAAAGUCAGUGACACAGCCGUUUCACAUGUCCUAGGAAGACUCUGGGUGGACUUCACUGAAUUCCUGAAAUUGGAAGUAGAAUGCAUAUAUAUAGUCGUUCAGUUCUCUGCAAGAAAGAGUACAGUUUUAACGAAUUUCUCAAAAAGGUCCCUGAACAAAAUAGUAUCAAGAACUAGUCAUGUGGCUUCUGGUUCCUACCGAAGUGGAAUUUUGAUUCAGCAGGUCUGGGGUGAGGUCUGGGACUCAGUUUUUUUGCUUUAUAUAUUUGGUUGUAGAUUUCCGGGUGAUUCUAACCCUCAGUCUUGGGAACCAUUGAGCCAGUACUCUAGUUCUCAGUCUUCAGUGAAGCACAUGAAGCUCCUGGGGAUCUUGAUAACAUACAGAUUCUGAUUCCCAUGACUGGGAUUGGGGCAGAAAUUCGGCUUCUGUCACCAAGGUGAUGCUGCUGCUGGUGGUGGGUGGACCACACUUUGAGUAUAAGGUUCUAAAGGCACCCUUACUCGGGUCAGUUAUGGGACAUUGGUUAGAUUCAAACCACAUCCAAUUCCUUUGCUUGAGAAUUGAGGCAAAUUCCUCAAGCCACUUCCCUUUGAUGAACAUUAUUAGAUGGGAGUGAAGAUAUUUCUUAGGUGUGUUGAGUACUUCAGAGCCAAAAAAUUCCAUUUCUAGUGGCAGAAUGGAGAAUGGAAUGAAUAAGUCAGCGGUUUGAUGGGCUUACAUCCUCGCCCCCAUAUUGAUCAUUCUCGUGUAUCUUUAGGGAUGAUAGCUAUAAAUAAUGGAAUGUAUGACUAAUAGUGGCUUAAACCAAUUGGGGUUUAUUUUUCAUACGUAGCAAAAAGUGUACAGUAGUGUUGGGAUUGUUGGGCCAGCUGCCAAUAUUCAAGGACCUGGGGAUAUUUUGUCCUCCUGCUCAAUGUCUCUAGCAUGACAUGAAAACAAAUCUCCCAGCAUCCUGCUAGGAUUUGGUACAGGAAGGAGGGACCCUGGUUGGAAUCAUGUCACCUAGUCAACUCCAGCUGCAAGAAAUGUUGGACAAGGAUAAUGAACACUUUCAACCUCUAUUCUUUUUUAAAAUUAAUGGAUUAAUUACUUUUUAGGCCAUGCCCUAUAGCAUGUGGGAUCUUAGUUCUCCAACCAGGCAUCAGAACCUGUGUCCGCCGCAUUGAGAGUGCAGUCUUAACUCCUGGACCACCAGGGACGUCCUCAAACUGUUUCUUGAGAACAGCAAGAGGGGAGAGAGGUGAGAAACGUUCUUGGGGCAGCUCACCGUAGUCUCUGCCACAUCCUGUGAUUCUGGGCACCUUACUGACUCUCCCUGAGCUUCCAUUUCCUCAUUUGUAAAACAGGAGAAUUAAGUGUCGUGUGUGAUUCCCACACCAGAAGCAACGGC
ensembl:lncRNA